rnacentral:tRNA from 1 species
GGCUUGAUAGCUUAGUUGGUAAAGCCCUCGUCUAGUGUAAAAGGAUCGUGAGUUCAAACCUCACCUAAGCUG